AUAUAUUUCUAAUUUUUUUUUGGAUUAGGGUUUGUAGUUUGUAACAUUGUUUAUUCGAUUAUUGUCUAUUGUUGAUUUGAUACAUGGUUAUUCACCAGUUGUUUCAUGAUUAUCUUUUAUCAUUUUAUUAUGGUUAUCUGAUUGUUGAAUCUCAUUGUCAAAAUUGAGACCUUACCAGGUAUUGAAUUUGUUUGUGGUGUAUUUAAUAAAAUUUCAGAGAGGGCUUCCUUCUUAUUUUGACCUUUUGUAAUUUUGUUUCCACCUAAGCAUUGGAGAAAAUGGGGGUUUAGAUUUUACUUUAUGAGAAUGAAUUGAAAUAUUAACUUUUGUUCAUACAUUAGCUUUUUUUGUCGAAUUACAGUGAAUUGAAAUGGGGGUUAAUUGUGAAGCUAUUACUCUGAAUUUUGGCCACUGUUUGAUAAAAACUCAGGUAGACAUAUUCAUACACUAGCUUGGCUUGUUUGAUUACAAGGAAUUGAAAUGUCUUUUAUCCAUUGUUAAUUACAUAUUUUAUUAGUUGAUUUUGAUGUUCCGGUCAUGGUUACUUUAUGGAUGAUAUUUUAAUUGACUGAUUUUGAAGCUAUUGCUCUGAAUUUUGGUCACUGUUUGAUAAAAAAUCCAGACAGGCAUGUUCAUGCUCUAACUUAGCUCUGCUUAUUUUGCUUUGAAUGUCAUUUCUCUAUGCUAAUGCUCUUAAUCAGAACAAUUGAGUAGAAUGACAUUUGAUAAAUUAAAUACCUCUCCAAACAAGAUCUUUUCAUAUUUAUUGUAGUAGCUGGCUUCAUUGGUUUCCUUGCAUUGUCUCCAAAAAGAAAGUGUGUCAAUAGUUGUCAAGGUCAUAUCUUAUUUGAUACAUAGAUUUUAUUGUCCUUUCUUUUUUUCAAGUUUCUGCUUAGUGCUUUUAUUUUAGCUGACCCUAGACCUUAAAGCACUUUCUGUAUUUGAUUUAUAAAAUAUAUGAGCAUUGAUUGUCGUCAAUUCAUCAUUGAUCUUUUCUAGAUCAAGUCUCUAUUAAGUUCAAGUCUAGAUCUUUUUUCUUGUCUAAGCAUUAUGAGAAUAAACUACUUUGCUGAAAGAACUUAUAUCUAUUGGAUUGGCCUUGAGUGGAGAUCAGAAACUGGGGGCAGUUUUAUGAAUUUAAUGGUAAUAAGUCCAUUUUGAAAAAGUAGUCUGGGUGAUAAAUUGGAGAACCCAUUUUGGAAAUACUUUUACAUUUUAGUUUGACAAGUACAUAUUGGUUGUUUAUUUUGAGAUAACUGUGUGAUGAAGUAAGUUAAGUUAGGAUGAUAGUUUUGAAACCACUGUAAUUAUGAAUGUGGAGUUGUUCUAAAACUUUUGCUGCAUGCACUUUAUCUUUUGGUGGAUGCAUUCAAGAUAGAUUUUAUUUAUUAUUGAAUUUGAUUUUGUAGCUACUUUAGUUUACUAUGGUUUUAUAUGUUAUGUAGCUAUGUGAGUCGUCUACUCUAAAUGGAGGAUUUUAAAGUUGGUACUUGUACUUCAUUUUCAAUAAUGGCUGUAUGCAAAAUUCAAUAUCUUAUCAUUGAUGGAGGCUUUUAUUUUAUGAGAGUUAGAUAGUUCUGUUAAGCUUUUGGUUGGUUUCACUUCCAUAGUUAUGAGCUUCAAAAUAUUACUAAUCCAACUUUUUUAAGUUGCUUUUUUCAAAGAAUUGAGGUUGAUGAUGUUGUAUACCUUCAGCUAAAGCAUCUUAUAUAAGCCAAAUUGGAGAAGGAAAAAUAACUACAAUAAUGGACAGUAAGUCAUUGAGCGGUGUUGAAGGCAUGUUGAAGGCUCGCUUUCCAAUUAUAAAGCAAAUGCCUUCAUAUGAUCUAAGAAUACAAAAGUACAUUGUCAUUGCUUGCUGUGGGAUUCACAAUUUUAUAAGGACAAAUGCAGAAGCAGAUUUAUAUUUUGAUGGCAGUGAAGGAAAUUCUGAAGUACAGGCCACCACUUUACAAAGCACGAUGGAACUUUGACUGAUAGUGUAGAGUUCAGUAUUUCUAGAACUCAUAUACGUGAAAUGACUCAUGUUCGUGAUGAAAUUGCUGACCAUAUAUGGAGAGCUAGUCGACGAUAGUGAGAUUGAGUAAAGACAUUAGUUGAUUCUUAUAACUCGUUUAAUACUUUAUUUUAAGUUUGGAUAAUUAUCACUUCAUAUGUUUUUAUUUUACUAUGUAAACUUUUUUGAUUUUGUGGUAUCUCGUGGAUAGAUAUUAAGUUUUGAAAUUUGAGAUUAUUUGAAUAUUAUUAAUAUGAUCUUUUUUUA